rnacentral:rRNA from 1 species
AGCAGCCGCGGUAAUUCCAGCUCCAAUAGCGUAUAUUAAAGUUGUUGCAGUUAAAAAGCUCGUAGUUGAAUUUCGGGAUUGACACAUCGGUCGUGCCUUAAGGGGUAUGAACUGGUGUAGUCAAUUUCUCACCUUCUGGAGAACCGCGAUGCCCUUAAUUGGGUGUCGCGGGGAACCAGGACCUUUACUUUGAAAAAUUAGAGUGUUUAAAGCAGGCAUUUUGCUUGAAUACAUUAGCAUGGAAUAAUAAAAUAGGACGGCAUGAUUCUAUUUUGUUGGUUUCUAGGAUCACCGUAAUGAUUAAUAGGGAUAGUUGGGGGCAUUAGUAUUCAAUUGUCAGAGGUGAAAUUCUUGGAUUUAUUGAAGACUAACUACUGCGAAAGCAUUUGCCAAGGAUGUUUUCAUUAAUCAAGAACGAAAGUUAGGGGAUCGAAGACGAUCAGAUACCGUCGUAGUCUUAACCAUAA